rnacentral:rRNA from 1 species
ACGAGAGUCUGAACCAGCCAAGUAGCGUGCAGGAUGACGGCCCUAUGGGUUGUAAACUGCUUUUAUAAGGGAAUAAAGUGAGUCUCGUGAGACUUUUUGCAUGUACCUUAUGAAUAAGGACCGGCUAAUUCCGUGCCAGCAGCCGCGGUAAUACGGAAGGUCCGGGCGUUAUCCGGAUUUAUUGGGUUUAAAGGGAGCGUAGGCCGGAGAUUAAGCGUGUUGUGAAAUGUAGACGCUCAACGUCUGCACUGCAGCGCGAACUGGUUUCCUUGAGUACGCACAAAGUGGGCGGAAUUCGUGGUGUAGCGGUGAAAUGCUUAGAUAUCACGAAGAACUCCGAUUGCGAAGGCAGCUCACUGGAGCGCAACUGACGCUGAAGCUCGAAAGUGCGGGUAUCGAACAGGAUUAGAUACCCUGGUAGUCCGCACGGUAAACGAUGGAUGCCCGCUGUUGGUCUGAAUAGGUCAGCGGCCAAGCGAAAGCAUUAAGCAUCCCACCUGGGGAGUACGCCGGCAACGGUGCAACUCAAAUGAAUUGACGG